rnacentral:rRNA from 1 species
AUGAACGCUAGCUACAGGCUUAACACAUGCAAGUCGAGGGGCAGCGGGAUUGAAGCUUGCUUCAAUUGCCGGCGACCGGCGCACGGGUGAGUAACGCGUAUCCAACCUUCCGCUUACUCGGGGAUAGCCUUUCGAAAGAAAGAUUAAUACCCGAUGGUAUCUUAAGCACGCAUGAGAUUAAGAUUAAAGAUUUAUCGGUAAGCGAUGGGGAUGCGUUCCAUUAGGCAGUUGGCGGGGUAACGGCCCACCAAACCUACGAUGGAUAGGGGUUCUGAGAGGAAGGUCCCCCACAUUGGAACUGAGACACGGUCCAAACUCCUACGGGAGGCAGCAGUGAGGAAUAUUGGUCAAUGGGCGAGAGCCUGAACCAGCCAAGUAGCGUGAAGGAUGACGGCCCUACGGGUUGUAAACUUCUUUUGUGCGGGAAUAAAGGAACCUACGUGUAGGUUUUUGCAUGUACCGUAACGAAUAAGCACCGGCUAACUCCGUGCCAGCAGCCGCGGUAAUACGGAGGAUGCGAGCGUUAUCCGGAUUUAUUGGGUUUAAAGGGAGCGUAGACGGGUUUUUAAGUCAGCUGUGAAAGUUUGGGGCUCAACCUUAAAAUUGCAGUUGAAACUGGAGACCUUGAGUACGGUUGAGGCAGGCGGAAUUCGUGGUGUAGCGGUGAAAUGCUUAGAUAUCACGAAGAACCCCGAUUGCGAAGGCAGCCUGCUAAGCCGCCACUGACGUUGAGGCUCGAAAGUGCGGGUAUCAAACAGGAUUAGAUACCCUGGUAGUCCGCACGGUAAACGAUGGAUACUCGCUGUUGGCGAUAGACAGUCAGCGGCCAAGCGAAAGCGUUAAGUAUCCCACCUGGGGAGUACGCCGGCAACGGUGAAACUCAAAGGAAUUGACGGGGGCCCGCACAAGCGGAGGAACAUGUGGUUUAAUUCGAUGAUACGCGAGGAACCUUACCCGGGCUUGAAAGUUACUGACGAUUCUGGAAACAGGAUUUCCCUUCGGGGCAGGAAACUAGGUGCUGCAUGGUUGUCGUCAGCUCGUGCCGUGAGGUGUCGGCUUAAGUGCCAUAACGAGCGCAACCCUUGCUGCCAGUUACUAACAGGUCAUGCUGAGGACUCUGGCAGGACUGCCAUCGUAAGAUGCGAGGAAGGUGGGGAUGACGUCAAAUCAGCACGGCCCUUACGUCCGGGGCUACACACGUGUUACAAUGGGGAGUACAGAGGGCAGCUACCGGGCGACCGGAUGCGAAUCCCGAAAGCUCCUCUCAGUUCGGACUGGAGUCUGCAACCCGACUCCACGAAGCUGGAUUCGCUAGUAAUCGCGCAUCAGCCACGGCGCGGUGAAUACGUUCCCGGGCCUUGUACACACCGCCCGUCAAGCCAUGAAAGCCGGGGGUACCUGAAGUACGUAACCGCGAGGAUCGUCCUAGGGUAAAACCGGUAAUUGGGGCU